rnacentral:tRNA from 1 species
GGGCCGGUAGCUCAGCUUGGUAGAGCACAUCACUUUUAAUGAUGUGGUCGCGAGUUCGAAUCUCGUCCGGCCCACCA